rnacentral:rRNA from 1 species
ACGUAUGGUGCAAGCGUUAUCCGGAUUUACUGGGUGUAAAGGGAGCGUAGACGGUUGUGUAAGUCUGAUGUGAAAGCCCGGGGCUCAACCCCGGGACUGCAUUGGAAACUAUGUAACUAGAGUGUCGGAGAGGUAAGCGGAAUUUCUAGUGUAGCGGUGAAAUGCGUAGAUAUUAGGAGGAACACCAGUGGCGAAGGCGGCUUACUGGACGAUCACUGACGUUGAGGCUCGAAAGCGUGGGGAGCAAACAG